CGGAGACUAGUUCAUCGGUAGAACGCUCGCAUGGGGUGCGAGAAGUACGGGGUUCAAUUCCCCGGUCUCCGACUA
rnacentral:tRNA from 1 species